GAGUGAUGAUCCACAAACUUGAGCUAGAGAGCACCAGACUGAUCCGUCGAUUCCUGGGUUGUAUUGUCCCAGCGAGGUCAAUCAUGGAUUCACCACUGGAAGAGGUGAAUUAUGGGUGGGAAAACCAGCUGGACGAUGAAGACCUCUUCAUAGGGGCAGAGACCAAAGUGUCCCUCCACAACCAGGAAGAGAAUCUUUGAGACAGUGAAAGCUUUCUAUGAAGCAGCCAUCAGGAAAAUGCUGAAAGCAUUUCUCAUAGAGUCGCAAAUGCUGAAGGACCUGAGAGUGCUUGACCCAGCCUCUCGACUUGACGUUUCUCCAGAGACAGUGACAAGACUAGGUGCCAUGUUUCCACAACUGGGCUUACAGACAGACAAGCUGAGAGAAGAGUUGGUGGAUUAUCAGUUCACAGAGAGCAAAGAUCCACCACAGGAAGAGAGAGUUGACAGAUUCUGGGGCCUUGUAGGGAAAGAGCAAAGGUUCAGGAAUCUGGCAGCACUGAUGAAGGCAAUGCUCUGCAUCCCUCACAGCAAUGCAAACUCAGAGAGAUCAUUUAGCAUGGUGAAAAAGAUUUGCACAGAAAAUAGAAUGAGCAUGGAUAACACCACUCUUUGUGCACGUCCUUCUUGCAAGAUCAACCACACCAGCCCUGGUCACAAGUAUGCUCCCUCUAAAAAAGUGCUAAGCACUGCAAAGCCUGCUAACUACAUCUACAACAGAUCCUUGGGUGACAAGGGGAACCAAGAGUAAAGAUAUGGACACAGACUUGUAUUCUCUCUUUGUCUCUGGUUUUGGAAGAUUUGGGAUUUUUUUAAUGU